CCUACGGGUGGCAGCAGUGAGGAAUAUUGGUCAAUGGGCGUAAGCCUGAACCAGCCAAGUCGCGUGAGGGAUGAAGGUUCUAUGGAUCGUAAACCUCUUUUAUAAGGGAAUAAAGUGUGGGACGUGUCCUAUUUUGUAUGUACCUUAUGAAUAAGGAGCGGCUAACUCCGUGCCAGCAGCCGCGGUAAUACGGAGGAUCCGAGCGUUAUCCGGAUUUAUUGGGUUUAAAGGUUGCGUAGGCAGCCUUUUAAGUCAGCGGUGAAAGUCUGUGGCUCAACCAUAGAAUUGCCGUUGGAACUGGGGGGCUUGAGUAUGUUUGAGGCAGGCGGAAUGCGUGGUGUAGCGGUGAAAUGCUUAGAUAUCACGCAGAACUCCGAUUGCGAAGGCAGCCUGCCAAGCCAUGACUGACGCUGAUGCACGAAAGCGUGGGGAUCAAACAGGAGUAGAUACCCAGUAGUC
rnacentral:rRNA from 1 species